AAAUGUUACAGCUCUUUUAGAAUUUGUCUAGUAGGUUUUCCAGUCUUCACCAGAAGACUCCC
rnacentral:snRNA from 1 species